UCCCCGGGCCUUAGCGGGCACCAGCCGCGGGAACCCCCGGGCCUCCUCGCGCCCGAGCCUGAGUGAUCCCCGGUUCUCUGGCGCCCCUUCCCUUGCCCUAUUCUUUUUCCUGCUCUCGCUGCCCCUACCGCUUCUGUUCUCCCUUAUGGCAGCAGAGCCACCAUCCCCCAUCCGGGUCGAGGCGCUGAGCACCCCAGAAAUGCGGACCCCACCGGCGAUCGAGGCCACCCAUGAGGGUACCCCGCAGCUGGCGGGCGGCAGACUCCGCUUCCUCAAGGGCUGCGUGCCCCUCUCGCAUCAGGUGGUCGGGCACAUGUACGGGAAGGGCAAAGUGGGUAUACUGCAACAUCCAGAUGGCACAGUUUUGAAACAGUUACAACCACCUCCAAGAGGCCAAGAGAGCUGGAAUUCUAUGAUAUUGUUUGUUCCGCUAACUGUACCGAUGGUGUUCUUCUAGAGCUACGAAAAUCUUUGCCAAAAUAUUAUGGCAUCUGGCCACCUCCCACUGCACCAAACGAUUUAUACCUACAAAUGGAAGACGUGACCCGUAAAUUUAAUAAGCCCUGUACAAUGGAUGUAAAGAUAGGGCCAAAAAGCUAUGAUCCUUUUGCUUUAUCUAAGAAGAUUCAGCAACAGGUCAGUAAGUACCUGUUACUUAUUAAUGGAAAAUAAUGGAAGAGAUUGGGUUCUUGGUGCUUGGCAUGAGGGUUUAUCGUGCUCAUUUUGAUAGCUAUGAGACACAAACCAACACUAUGGAAGAAGCUUAACAAAAGAAACUAUAAAGGAUGGAGUCUCCGGAUUUUUCCAUAAUGGGUACUGCUUAAGAAAAGAUGCUGUUGCCGUCAGUAUUCAGAAGAUUGAGAAAACUCCGCAGUGGUUUGAAAACCAGAAGCAGCUUAACUUUUACACAAGUUCAUUACUUUUUCAUUACUUUGUUUGUGAAGGUUCGUCUCAGGCAACCACCACAAAACUGAACGACAGAAAUUUGGCAGAAAAGUUUUUGUCCAAGGAAAACUGUCAGACACGGAAGUACUAGAGUGCUACAGUAACUUUCAUGUGUUCAGUUCCACAGCGAAUGGAAAAAUAGAGGCUUCAGUAGGCAAAAGCUUGUUCGAGAUGUAUGCUCGUCGCAGGAAAAUGUAUACGAAAAAGCAUCACAGUCAGACUUUAUUGAAAGUUGAAAAUCUGGAGCAAGACAAUGGGUGGAAAAGCAAGUCACAAGAACAUUUAAAUGGAAAUGUACUUUUCUAAUUGGAAAACGUUUUCUACCACCUUCCCACUGGUUGCCAAGAGAUUGCUGAAGUGUGCAUGAUAGAUUUUGCUCACAUAUGUUCCCUAGCAACACAGUAGAUGAGGGAUAUGCUCUCAUCGUACUGAGUAAGUCACUGGCCGUGUAG